rnacentral:rRNA from 1 species
UACGUAGGGGGCAAGCGUUGUCCGGAAUCAUUGGGCGUAAAGAGCGUGUAGGUGGCUCCGCGAGUCCGAUGUGAAAGCCCAGGGCUCAACCCUGGAAGUGCAUUGGAUACUACGGAGCUGGAGGCCUGGAGAGGUGGGCGGAAUUCCCGGUGUAGAGGUGAAAUUCGUAGAUAUCGGGAGGAACACCAGUGGCGAAGGCGGCUCACUGGACAGGUCCUGACACUGAGACGCGAAAGCGUGGGUAGCAAACAGG